rnacentral:rRNA from 1 species
GCCCUUAGAGUUUGAUCCUGGCUCAGAACGAACGCUGGCGGUAUGCUUAACACAUGCAAGUCGAACGAACAAAAUUGGGGCUUGCUCCAAUUUUAGUGAGUGGCAAACGGGUGAGUAACACGUGGGAAUCUACCUAUCAGUACGGAAUAACAUUUGGAAACAGAUGCUAAUACUGUAUAUUCUCCAAGGAGGAAAAGAUUUAUCGCUGAUAGAUGAGCCCGCGUAAGAUUAGGUAGUUGGGUAAGGGUAAUGGCCUAACCAAGCCCGACGAUCCUUUAGCUGGUUGUGAGAGAGGAUGAUCAGCCACACUGGGGACUGGAGACACGCGCCCAGACUUCCUACGGGAAGGCAGCAGUUGGGGAAUAUUGGACAAUGGGGGGAAAGCCUGAUCCAGCAAUACGGCGUGAAUGAUGAAGGCCUUAGGGGUUGUAAAGUUCUUUUAGUUGGAAGGAUAAUGACGGUACCCACAGAAAAAGCCCCGGCUAACUCCGUCCCAGCAGCCGCGGUAAGACGGAGGGGGCUAGCGUUGUUCGGAAUUACUGGGCGUAAAGGGCGCGUAGGCGGAUUAGUAAGUUGGGAGUGAAAGCCCGGGGCUUAACCUCGGAACUGCUUUCAAAACUGCUAGUCUUGAGUGAAGUAGGGGAUGAUGGAAUUCCUAGUGUAGAGGUGAAAUUCUUAGAUAUUAGGAGGAACACCGGUGGCGAAGGCGGUCAUCUGGACUUCAACUGACGCUGAGGCGCGAAAGCGUGGGGAGCAAACAGGAUUAGAUACCCUGGUAGUCCACGCCGUAAACGAUGAGUGCUAGAUAUCGGGAGUUUUUCUUUCGGUUUCGUAGUUAACACGUUAAGCACUCCGCCUGGGGAGUACGAUCGCAAGAUUAAAACUCAAAUGAAUUGACGGGGAAGGGC